rnacentral:lncRNA from 1 species
GUUUUUUGUGGUUUUCUCUUCUUCCGGUUUGAGGGGCAAACACCCAGGAAGGGGACUCGAGGCGGCCAGGCCUCCGGGUUCUGUUCAAUCGGCCUUUUGUGAACCUGGCCCCUCGGGCGGCCACACCCAGACCCGGAGCCCCCGCUGCCCCGAGGCCGCUGUCCGCAAGGCGGCCACGUCCUGAUGGACUGAACCUGCGGGUCCGGGUCCCGGUUCCUCGCCGGCUGUGGAUGCCACAGGCCGAGACCUCAGGACGGCGCCGGGCCGUGGGGACGGGGAUGGCUCCAUCCUCCCGACCGAGGCCUCUGAGCGUCGCUAACUGCUGUGAGGCGACUUGAACCUGCAGAUGAGCUUCCGGAACAGCACACUCACUCGCGCCCAGACCCCAGAUGCACCGCGGUCGUCAUUCUGCCCCCGGAGCUGUGUGUGCGGGGUUUCCAGCAAAGGGGCAGCCCCCUCACCCUUUAUCCCAAACACGCCCAGCAGCUCAAUUUGUGGUGAUUUGUCAGAGCUGCAACAGGAGAUGAAUACAUCGAGCUCUCCAUCACAUGCCCCAUCAGAGAACCCACAGGACCUGGCCUCCCACAGCCCCAGCUCUCGGGCACUAAGCUGACAUAGAGUCUGUACCAGCCAUCCUUCUGGCUCGAGGAGCCAGCAUCCUGGAGGCAGAGGUUGGCACAUCCGGGUGCGCAUGCCUCCUACAGACACUGCAGAACCCGCUGCUCUGAGUCCUAGAGGCCGCACUUGAGUAAAUUGUGAACGGGCUUACUGGAAGGUGGUAUUGUCUGCUGCAAACGACAGACGCGCAGCUUAAACCAGCUUUAUCUUAUUGAGGAGGAGGAGUUCAGGCAUGGCUGGAUCCAGGGCCUCCAACAAUAGCACAGGGAAUUGCUGCUGCCCCUCUUGGCUCCGUGUCCCCUGGGGCUGGCCUCUCCCUGGCCUUGGGCAGGAGCCGCUUGCAGCUCCAGGCUCACACCCCUCCCCUCGGGCUUGGUCAGGACCUGGGUGUCAGUUUCCCCACAAAAGUCUCGGGGCCGACUCCUGGUUUGCUGACGGUCAGGUGCUUCUUAUCGGCUGGCGCCCCCUCCUGGGCCAUUUGGCUGGGACUGCAGCAGGUGACUCCACAAAGGCACAUCUGGUGCUGGGAGCGGGGAUGCCGGCCGUGACCCAGGGGCCGGCCCUCACCGCACAGUCCAGAGAUGGGAGGGCCCUGCCCCGAGGGGGCUCAGCGCACCAGUCCUGGAGCCCUGCUCCCCUGGUUCUGACUCCAGUUCCCAGCCUGUGGGGCUUUGUGACUCCCAAGAAGUCACUUUCCU